UUCAGCCUGGCAAGCGUUGCCAUGGCAGCGCCGCGGGCUGGGAUUCGGGAGGCCGAGCGCGCCGCCCCGCUCGCCUCUUUGUGCCGCGGGGGUGUCGGUGCGCUCCCCCCACAUCCGGCCGUACCCGCUACUUAGACCCCGACCCCGGGACGGGGUGAAGGCAGCUACAAAGACUACGCCGGCUGCGCUCGGGGGACCGGAGGGAGGGAGGCUGCGGACGAGGGCGGGGAGGAGUUUGCGAUGGGAGGCGCCUGCAGGGGCUCCCCCAGUUCUGCGCUGUGAGCCGGGGCACAAAGAGCUCUCUGCACUGGCGCCGCAAGACCGCGGACCCGAGGAGAUCAGUUUUGGCAAAUGCUGUGAUUUCGGAACAGAGGCUGACAUCUACUCUCCAGCGCACCCACGGCUACAUUUCCCACCCCAUCUUUCCUUCUCUCGAUGACAGCCGGAGGCAUCUCCCUGCCUAACCCGUGUGGUUCCAGACAUUCACGUGGCCGCCACGACCCCACCAGCAUCGAAGGAGUAACCAAGGUGACCCUUCCUCUCCUGUGUGCUCCUGGGGGUUAGGGAGGCCAGUCUCAAGCUGUGUGGUCAGGUCCACCAGGAAACCCACAUGUGUGGGAGAAAACUUGUAGAUUUCAGAGGCAGGCGGGACCUCUAGGGUUCUCUGGGGUCCAGUCCCUCAAUCAAGGCUUCCCUGAUGGGAUUCCUCACCUUGAAGUAGGGGUGGGGUGGGGUCUGUUGUGGAGUAAUGGAACCUGAGACGCUGGGACCUGGGAGCCCACCCCCAGGUCCCUGUGUGGCCUUUGGCCUGACCCUUCUUGAGUCUUGCCCUCUGUCAUCAGUUCUAGAUGAUUUUUGGAAAGUGAACUAUACUGAGGGAUCAUUUACAUGCCAGAAAAGGCACUCAUUUAAAGCAUACAUUUCGAUGUUGAUAAAAGUACACAUCUGUGUGGCCACCACCACAGUCAAGAUAUCAGACGGUUGCAUCACCCUACAAGUCCCCCUGUUAAAUCACCGCCUAGUCUCAGGACACCACUGAACUGCUUCCUGUGUCUACAGAUUUGACAUUUUCCCUAAAGUUUCAUCAUUAGGAAAUCUUUUAUGCUUGACUCUUUUUUUGCUCAGCAUGUUUUUGAGGUUUAAACUUGCCAUUGUCUUGUCAGCAAUUCAGUCCCCUUUUCUGGGUCUAACUAUGCCCUGAGAGGCAUAGCGUAUAACUCAUCCACUUUGAGCACACAGUUCAGUGAGUUUUCGUCAUGUUACCAAAUUCUGCAUCCACCGCUAGAGAUCAGUUUUAAAGCACUUCCGCUGGCCCCGUAAGACCCCUCACCCCGUUUACCGCUAAUCCCCAGCCCAGUCUUACUCCCUGGCAGCCUCUAGUAUGCUUUGUCUGCAGAGGUUUGCCUUUUCCGGACUUUCGUAUAAACAGAAACCAUACAGUCUGUCUUGGGCCUGGCUCCCUUCACUCAGUCAUACUAUUUUUGAAGUCUGUCCCUGUCAUGGUAUGUCGCAAUGGCUUGUUCCUGUUUAUCGCUGAGGAGAUUUUAAUAUUAUAUGUCUGGACUACCAACGACAACUACAAGCUUACUUAUCCAUCCACCAAGACGGGAUUUAUAUUUGAUCUGUGCUUCCUAAGUGGGGUGUAUACACCCACCGCCCCGGGAGGCUUAUUAACCCUGCAGGAUAAAUAUGGCCCAUCAGUGUUACUGAAAGAUUUAUUCAAAGUUUAAAUCAUUAACUGGGGAGGAUAAUUUUUGGAAACACGCCCUGUGCGCCAGACACUGGUUGAGCUUUUGAAAAUAAUUAGCCUUGAGUCACACGUUGGGGACAUGGGGUCUGGAAGCCAUCAUCUCACUCAUGUUUGUUUGACCUCAGAGCCCUUUAUACCCUCCUAAACAACUGUCAGCUUGAUGCAGGAGCUGAAGUUUCCAUUGAAACCUCCGUUGAUUUAUUCAUAUCAGGGAGUCUGGGUUCACAGGGUCGGGGAAAGUAUUGUUAUUGUGUGUAAACAAUGUUCCUCUGAGUGGUGCAGGGUCUGUUCACAGAGUGCAAGCAAGUUUCUGAGACAGAGGAGAAGGAAGGGAAUUUCCGGGUUCUUGGAGAUGUUCAGGACCACACUGGGAAGCAGCCUUGCAGAUAAGUAUUCCAGCUUCCCAGCCCACAGCCUACCAGCCUGCCCUCUCCUGCCCUCUACUGGUCUGUGGAGCAAAGUACAGCAUCCCUGAAUCCCCAAAUCCAGGGAGAAAUCAGCGCUCCAGCUCAUUCGCUUUCCUAUGCCUAAGAUACAAAGAAAAAGCUUGUCCCCAUUUUGUGGGGCCCCAGAGAGUAAUUUUCCUACCCUACUUUUGACAUCAAGGCUAGUAUUUUACAAACUCCACCCUCAGGGACUUCUGGGGAGCUGAGUUGAGUAGCUUCAUCUUGCGCACCUGUAGAUCUGGUGUCAGGAGGAGCCUGGGGACUCCUGGUGAUUUGGGCUGGCCCUUCCCUUAUUGGUUCUUGUCCUCUGUCAUCAUAUUUAUAAAACUUGGCUAGGUCUCCUUUUCUUGCCUGGCAGUCAAGUGGGGACCUUGGCACUGUGACCCCAGGGCGCAUGCUUCUUGGUUUAAGGGUCUGAGCACGUCUCCAGCUCUGGGCCCGGGCCCCCAAGUCCAAGUGCUGACAGCAGGCUCUGAAGAUACGGUGAACGGGCCCAGGCCUGCCUGUGGAUGAAGAUAACUCUGCUGCUGUUUGCUGUUUAGUCCCUAAGUCAUGUCUGACUCUUCGCCAUCCCAUGGACUGUAACUCCUCUGUCCAUGGGAUUUCCCAGGCGAGAACACUGGAGUGGGUUGCCAUUCCCUUUUUCAGGGAAUCCUCCUGACCCAGGGAUCAGACCUGCAUCUCGUCUCCUGCGUUAGCAGGCGGAUUCUUCACCACUGAGCCACCGGGGAAGCCCUAAGAUAGCUUCGCUGUCACUGGAAGAGAAGCCUGGGAGGUGGUCCUGGCUCAGGAUCUGGGGCAUCCUCUGGUCUUCUCCACACUGGAGACACGGGGAUUUUGCUAAAGAGCCCCAGCCCACCAUCUGGCUCCCCACCUUUUCUUUUUCUGGGGCAUCAGAAAAGAGGAUAGGGGAUGAGGGUGGGGGGGUGUUGAGCAGAAAGAUAACUGAGGUUGGGCCUUCUGCUUCCCAUCCUCUGUCUCAAACUGAGGGUGGUUACUGCACUUUAGGUGAAUGUCUGGACUGGGAGGACCCUGGGACCCAGAGGGAGGGGCCGCCGGUCCAGCAUGACACGGGAUGGCAGAGCUGGGAUAAGAUGUCCGGCUUCUCGCCCUGCUCCAUGCACUCACUCAAGCUGAGCUUGCCCUGCUCUCUCUGGGGUCCCAUGCUGCUGUUGGCAGGGAACAGGGAGGUGUUCUGGAAAGCGAAAGGUUUUCUAGGGUGGGGGGAAGGGGGGUGGGGGUGGUGCGCCUGGGCCCAGCCUCCCUGGGUCCCAGGCCAGGGCUGUCUCCUUAGCAGAGAGGUCUGGCCCGGGCUAGGGAGGGGGCCUGGGUGUGGUUUUCUCCUGUGUUGCGGUUGGCUCUUUUGUCUUCCAGGAUGGGCCUGUGGGGGUCUCCGUGGGGUAGGAGCUGGGAUCAGGGCACUGCCAGGUCCACGGCACAGAUUUCAGCACGUGCCUUCAUUCAGCGCAGAUGUGGACUGAGCACCUUCUCCUGGAUAGAAACUGAGGAUUCGGAGGUCAACGUGAGAUGUGGUCCUGCCCUCUCAGAUCUUCGUGAAUGUCGAGCCUCCCAAGGACUCUGAAGGCCCUUUCUGCCCACCUGGACCCCUGCUUCUCAUCUGCCCGUGAUGUCCGCAGGGCCAGCUCUGGGCGCUCUGUGUUGCUUCCAUACACCCUGCUGGCCCUGUCAAGGCAGCGCUGCCCCGGCUGUGUCUCUAGGACUCCUGGCCCGCCCUCCUUCUGGACUCUGGCAGUGGUGAUACAGGGAGCAGUCUUCGCUGGUUUUCUGGAACCCUGGACAGCUCCCCGAAGAUCUCAUCCUUCCUAACUCCUGGGCCUCCCCUGGAUAAAGGCCCCUCCUGGUUGGUGCUCGGCUGAGGACAGUGGUGGAGCGUGAGGGAGGCUGGCAGCCUACCAUCCAUCCCCUCUGCAUCUGCCUGGACCUGCCUGCCUGUCCCCACCUCUGUCCAGGACUGGGGGCCCUUCCUGACCCUGUGAAGACCUCACUGCUCCUCCCAUCCCCGCCGGUGACCGGGUGGAGCUCGGCCUGGGCCCAGGCCCAACUGACCACACCCUUGGCAAGGCUGGGUCUCACAGGACCUGCAGGAUGGGGGCAGGAACCUGUGGAUGGGCGUCAGGGACGAGCUGCCAGUGGGGUGGAGGGGGGACGAAGCUCGGGGCGUUGGUGGGCUGGAGUCUGUCUUAUGCUCUUUAUGUGUGAGUGAUUCUCAUUUUUCUGGAGGCUUCUGGGGUUCUUCUUCCUAGCUUCUUUCCCUGAUGGUCACCAGGAGGAGGCAGUCUAGGCCUCAGGGGAGCUUGGGCCUUCCCCUAAUGCUGUGGAGCUCUGGGAGAGGUUAUCCUGAAAGGAGAGGGUUUCCAAGAGAGGAGAAGACCCCAGCCAGGGGGCUUGUGAGGGAGACAGACCCUGGGCCUGGCUCCUGACAUCCAAAGGGAAUAGUCUGGAAUCAGCCUCACCCUGGCCCAGUCUCAGACUCCUGCUCCUGGUCACCCUCAUCCCUGGGAAGCAGAGGUGGGCAGGGUAGGCUACGCACAGGGACAGCUUCCCCAUCACAGGGUGGUGGGCUCGCUCACAUGCCCUCCCCUUCUCCAGUCCCCCCGGGGGGCCAGCCUCAGUGCUUGCAGGAGGGUGGCUAUGGCCUUCCCUGGAGAAGCUCAAGAGCCUGAUGUCCUUUUCCUGGGGCAGGAAGGGACGCUGCCAUAACGGAACUCCACUCCUGGAUGGCUGAACUGCAGAAAUGUAUUUUCUUAUAGUUCUGGAGGCUGGAAGUCCAAGACCAAGGUGGCAGGGAUGGUUUGUGGUGAGCCAUAGCUCCCUGGCCGGCAGAUAGAACCUUCUUGCUGUGUUCUCACAUGGCCUUCUCUCUGCAUACGCAGAGAGAGUGUGUGUGAGAGGAGAGAAAGAGAUAUCAGGCAUCUCUUCCCUUUCCUAUAAGGGCACUGGUCCUAUGGGAUUAGGGCCUCAUCCUUAUGACCUCAUUUAGCCUUAAUACCUAUGCCAAAGCCCUACCUCCAAAUAUAGUCACACUGCGGCUGUGAAUUUAGAGGGAGACACAAUUCAGUCCAUAGCAGGUGGUCACCACAAACCUGGAAGCUAGAGCCAUCUCCCCUUUAGAAUUGCCACCCCCGAUGGGGAGGGGAAGGAGAAGCAGAGACAUGGGAAGCAGAAACGGUGCGGCAGGUCCUGUGCGAGGUGGGCCCUGGGAGCCUGGGAGAGACACGGGACUGGCCGAACCCAGAGCAGUGGAGAGGAGCCCCCGGGAGAGGAGGGUCCUGUGAAGAGCCUGGGCUUUGGAGCCUGAGGGUUAUGCUCUGAGGUGCAACCUUGGGCAAGUCACGUCACCCCUGUGAGUCCGAUUGCCACGCUGAAGCAGGAACCAUCAGCUCACCCGGGGGCGGGGCACAGGGAGAAGUCAGUGAGGUCUCGCGGCUGGCACAGCGCCUGACUCUUAGUAGGUGCUCAGUAAACACUCCCGUCCGUCUGGGAGUUUGGACUUAGGGCUUCUCUCUUUUGGGCACCCUGGACUGUAAACUCUGCAUCUUUGAUCCAGAGGCGUUUCUGACCAGUGCUUUCCCAGCUCUAUCUUUUUGUUUGUUUGUUUUUGGCUAUAUGGGGUGGCAUGUGGGAUCUUAGAUCCUGGACAAGGGGUCGAACCUGUGCCCAUGGUGCUGAGCGUGCAGUCUUAACCCCUGGACUGUCAGGGAAGCCUUUCCCUCUUAUGUUUUUAAUAUCCCUUUCUAAUCAGGUCAAGGAAUCCACUGCCUGGCAUGGCCUCCACAGUAGCUCUGAAUGCUUCCUGGGGAAUUUAGUAUCUACCCGUCUCAUCAGAAUUGAGCACCUGCUGUGAGUCCUUCCCUGUGCUGCUCAUUUGAGGGGGACAGAAGUACAGAUAUGGCCGCGAUUCAAGCCGGCAGGGUUUCACAGCCAUGCCAAGUGGAGGAAACCAGUCCACACAGAGAAUGAGCGGAUGGGCAGAAAACAGUCUCCUGAGGCACAGGUUCUAAGGGCACCCCAGUGGGUGGGAGGGAGGGAGAGCCCAGAGUAGGCUGGAAAGGCUUCCUAGGGAGGCAGAACUAGUCAGGACUUUGGGAGGAUGAGAAAGAUGUGGCUUAAAUGAGAGUUUUCCAAGGGAAAUUAGGUAAGCGAUUCCCAAAGUUCUAAGGGAUGUCAUUGCUCUUAAAAAAAAAAAAAAAUUAAAACUCAGUAGGUUUCUGUAGUGCAGGACUUAUCAAAGCCUGUAAAAGCACUGAUGGGAAUACUCAAGGACAGACAGAGGACUAAGUAUUUUCCCCCAAGCUUUACUGGCAACAAAACCCUUUUCUUAUGGAGCAUCAUUUAGAACCGCAGAGAGUCCAGGCUGGGGUUUCCGUGGGAGAAUGAUAACCGUGAUAGGAGAUGACAAAACUAGGGCACACUCAGGGGCUCCGGAGCAGCGGCUGGCAAGGCAGCGCUUUCCCUGGGCCGGUGAGUCAGACUCGGCUGCAGGAGUCAGGGGAGCUCUACUUGGCUGGAGCGUUUGUGGAAAGGGCCGGCCAGCUGCUGGGGUAGCCGGAUGCCUGGCGGUGGGGGACAGAGGGAGCUGUCCACUGGAGCCAGUGACUCUGGGGUAUCAGACCUCUUGUGAGAAGAUGCUGGUAUGUGCGUGUGUGCGUGUGCCUGAGUGUGACAGGAUCCAGCCUUCUGGGAAGCAGUGACCAGGACCAGGCAGGGGGUCUUUCCAGCCAGGACCAGCAGGGUCCAUUUUCGGGGGAUCUGAAGUGGCUGGGGGAGGGGCCCUGAGGACCACCGACGAGAAGCAGGGACGCCGAUUCUUUUGGGCAGGGUUCACGUGGACAGUCUUAUCCCGGGGGCGGGGCUGAGGCACUGGCGGCAGACCCCCUGCCCUGGUCAGGCCCGGCUCCCUGGCUGGCGGGGGCGGGCGGCCUCUGGAGAUGCGGCUGGGGCAGUGUUGCAUGGUGGGAUUAACCUACUAACCCAGGGCUCGGCCGGGACGCUGUGGCCUGUGGCGAGGUGCCUGGCCUUCUGCCAACCAACUAACCCACUAACCAGGCCCGAGCAUGCCCUACUAACCACCGCCCCCCCCCCGCCCCCCCGCCCCUCGCAGCCAGAUCCUACUAACCUCGCAGCUCACGGGCCUUCCCAGGGGUGGGGAUGUGGGGGCAGACGAGGCUCCGGAAGGCCCUGCCCGUGGCCUGGGAUCUCUGUGCAGACCCACAUUCCAGGACCGGGCGUGCAAACAGGACUUGCCAACUCUGCCGCUUCCUGCUUGGGGUGGGGGGGGGGGUGGGGGGCGGCGACUGGGAGAGCGAGUCACCCCGCCUCUCUGAGUCCGUUUCCUCGGCAGUGGAAUGGGAGGCCGCCUCCCGGGUGGCCGUGAGCAUUCCCAGGAGGAUAGAAUUCUUGACACAUGGCAGAUACUUAAUCCACAUUUAUGCGAGGUGGGGGCGGGAGGCCCAGAAAACUGGACCCAUCGGGUCCCCUGGCAGGCCCUGGUCCCUCUAGGUGGUUUGCACACAGACCCCUCUGCCUGGGGCCAGACACUUGCUUUGAACCCUUAACUGUGUCUUUCCCCACACUCUUCCUCUCCUCAGCUUUUUCCCUAUAGGCAGUUCUUUUGUUCAAUUACUAACUCGUCUAACCCCGGGGCGGGGGGGGCCUCAACUGCACCCCGACCACCCCCCCUAACCAACUAACGGACCCGAGUGUGUUCUUCCUUUUCUCCUAGCGAUUCCCGUGUGUGUCUGCUGAGGUGCCCCUGUCCGCUGGUGCUGUGCUCUGACUUACUAACCCAGUCCCUACUAACCCUCUUUUCUCUUCUUACUAACCCCAGCCCUGCCGAGCUCUGGGCCCCCGUGGGGGGGGAUAGUUCCCCCCUCCUUUUGGCAAGCAGACGUCCUAGGCUGGUCCUGCAGACAGAUGCCCUACUUUGCUGCCCCGAUUGGCUGUGAGUUCAGAGUCCCCUGGGUCAGGUCUGAGGGGGGCGAAGGCCCGGAGGAAGAGGGGCUCCUGCGGUUCUAGAGGGAGGCCGGCCUCUGAGCACAGCGUCUCUCCUCUGCGCAGAGUCUGGGGGCCACUGGGAGUUGGCCGGAGCAGGGCAACCUCUGUGGUGUGAAGGUGGAGGCCUGCAGGUCUCCUUCCAGCCAAGGGAGAGGAGAGAAGGGGCCUCUGGGUCGUCCUUCCCAGGGAAGUGGGGGCAGAGGUUCUUACUGGGCAAGUGGCUGAUAGAGGCGGGGCGCCACUGAGGGGCGUGUCCUGCACAGGAAGUCAACAAAGGGGGCGUGUCCCUCAAGGGAGUUAGUAAAGGGGCUUGUCCCUCGCCGGAUGUCAGUAAGUGAUGACUUCCUCCGCACUGGAAGUCACUGAAAGGGUCUUAACCGCGGUGGAAAUCACUGAGGGCAGCGUUUGGUAUAGGAAGUCAGACAAAGGGGGCAUUUCCUAUAUUUGAAGAAUGGGAAGAGGGGUAUUUGUUACACCGUUAGUCAGUGAGAGGGGGAUUUCUGCAUUAUCGCAAGGCGGUGAAGAGGAGUGACCAAAGAGAUGAGUGACGGGGGCCGUUCAAACGACAGGGAGUUAGCUAGAGGGGCCCUUCUCCACCCAUGGAGCUGCGAGAUCCGGUUUCCCACGCCAGAAGUAGGUGUGGUCCAUUUUCCCUACGGAUGCCUUUGAGAAGGGCAGUCCACACUGGGAAGGGCAGUCCACACUGGGAAGCUUGAGAAAACAGCAGAUCUGAAGUUUGUGAGGAAAGCAGGUCUUGGGCAGGGGGUCUGCGGGAGAAAGUGGGAAGCAACCAAUGAACCCCCGGCGCCCACAGGGCCCUGCACGCCUUGGGCCAGUCAGAAAUUCACCCUGGCUCCUUGUUCUUUUCACCCCCAUGUCCCUGCCCCAGCCUGUCUACCCCAGAGCCCGCCAGCCGCUAAGCCAGGGCCACACCUGGGGGUGAUUUUAUGCCUCACCUCCAGUAGGCACCUUGGUCUCUUUGGGCUAAUCUCUGGCUCCUCUGCACUAACUCUUGCUCCCACCCAGCUAAUCCUUGCCUCGCCCUGGCUGCCCCAGGGGCUGACCAUUAACAGCCAGCCCAUCUUGGGGGGCUCCAGGCUCCUGGCCUGGCUCUGACCUGCUCUUAAUUAACCUCUCCUUCACCUGACUAACUCCUGCCCCCUGAUCUGUUCCUCUCAGCAGAAACUAACGGCUUGUGGAUUUCUUUCUGACUAACAACAGGUCUAACACUCCUCGUCACUAUUACUAUUAACAGCUUGGAUGUCGGCAUGGCUGGGACUUGACUAACACGGGGAGAGGCGGAGCUAGUCGUGUGGGCCGUGGUGACGGCUCUGGGGAAGAGCCAGCUGAAGUCAGGAAGACCUCGGUGCUCAAAAGGAGAUGCUGGGGCUGGGCUGUGGCUCAGGCCGAAUGGAGGAGUGGUGUCUGCUGUGGGGCGGGUGGGGUGGUGGUGGGUGGUCAGAAGCAUACUCAGCCUUCCAAGAUUUUGGCCGCUAGACAUAUCCUAUUAACCCCUUAUAACCUGCAUUCAUAUUCUGGUUCUUUUAUACAAUAGCCUGAUAGUUGUAUUAGUGCCUGCAGCUUUUGUAGCCCCCCACCCCCGCCCCAAAGGCCUGUCUAGUGUGUAGAGAGGAGAUGCCAUUGGAGUCAUCAGUCACCAGCUGAGAGUCUAGAGUCCUUGAUUUGGGGACUUCAGAGUUUGGAAGCCUUAAGACAGAAAACUUCAGGUUACAACCCCAUCACCCACUGACACCUUGGUGUCAAUUAGCUCAGCUUUCUCUUCGAACUUCUGUGCAACCAGCUGCCCUGGGAGGACCAGAAUGUGGCUGGAGGGGAGUCUCUUCAGGGCUGGGGGAGGCUCUGGGAACAGAGGAGAAGCUUGAGUCCGGGGGUUCCUGGGUGGGUGUAAGAGGGGAAACCAGGAGGCUGGGGAGGGGGGAUAAGAGGGGCUGUUUUGCUGGUUUUGUCUGGUAGUCAGGGUCUGUGGGAGAGGACAGCUUAUAGCAGAGCCUGGAGGAUUGGAUCAGCUCAGGGGCAGGGUCAGAGUCCUGCCUGGAGGCUUUGCGGGCAGUUUGCUUGAGUCAUUGAAUGCUGCUGUGGGGUUGAGAGCCUCUCUGACAGUCACAGACUCAGAGCUAAACUUGUGGAGCCGCUGGUGAGGUCUGAAGGGUGAUCCAGAGGCCUGAGCUGCAAAGGGAAGGCGAGAGGACACAUCAGAACCUGGGAAGAGGGGGAGCCUGCACAGAGGAAGCACAUGCCUGCUGCCCUCUAGUGGCCGCCUCGCUUCAUUUCACUGGUAACAUUUCCCAUUCUGGGGGGGCCUCUUUAUUCAACUGCAAAGACCUGAUGAUGCUGAGGACCUACUAUGUGCCCGGCACUGCUCUGGGUCUUGGACCCACGCACAGGUUUUUCCAUAGUGCUUGAUUAGCUUGGUGGGGGAGACAGAAAUAAAACAGGUAAUGCAGUGAGGUGGGCACCAUGAUAGGGGUGAUGGGCCUGUGGAAGUGCCCAGGAGGCAAAGGAUGAGAAACACCUGCUGUGUGCCAGGGGCGGUGCUAGGCAUCAGGGAUGAGUGGUGAUUAAACAUCAUACAACCUUCAGGAGCUUUAAUGCUAGCGUAUUAAAGCAUUAUUAAGCUUUAAUGCUAUGCUUAGAGCGGGUGUGGGGUAGAGUGGGCUGUGGGCCACCAGUAGAUUUUCUGAAGAGGAAGGCAUCUGAGCAGAGUCCUGGCUGGGCAGAAUGUGGUGGCGAGAAGGGAGGACACAGAGUUCUGGGGGUCAGAGAGGACUGAAGAAGUUCUGGAAGUGUUGUAGGGGACGAAGCGGGAGACAGAGGGGAAGUGGACACAUACCAGAUGGUAUUGCCAGGGAGUUUAUCCUAAGGGCAAUGGUGGGGGUGGUGGGGUGGGGGUGGUUGUGGAUGUGAUCUGAGGAGGGGAGAUGUUAGAUUUCAGUUCUAGGCUGACAACGUGACUGUUUCAGCCUAGGUGGAAUUCUGAGAUGCUGGUAACAUGUUCUCGCCAAAUUUUAGGAAACUGGUUAGAACUUCUGGAAAGGUGGUGGAUCCUCAGAUCCAUCUUAAGAUAAAGAGGGCCGUGUUCCUGCCAGGCAGGGGCCUGGCCGAGGGGACAGACAGGUUGGAGGAACAGUCUUAAAAUCAUGUCGUCCCAAGCCCCUGGAAUGGUCAUGCUGGUCUGGGGGAAGACCUGAGGGGACGUGGUCCUGGGGCUGGAAGUCCACAGGCGAGUCUCACUGGAGAGGGACCCUGUUAGUCCCGUGUGGCUGCAAGGGACAUGCAGGCUUGGAGGAAGCUUCCAAGAGGCUGGUCCCAGGGAGGGAAAAAUGUGUCUUGCUGGGUAAUAAACCUUAUGGAGACAGAAGGAUUGGGAGUAGGCCACCUUUGAGACUGAGGAUGGUGGUGGGAUUCUGGGAUUCUGUGUGUGAGUGUGUGUGUGUGUCCUUGACUUACUACUAGAGCAAGCCGAGCCCAGGAAGGCAAUUCUGUUCUCCACCCCAGAGCCCGGCCUGCCAAUGCUCACUCUGGCCUGGAUUCCUCUGAGCAUCGAGCUCGCUGGGAGCUGUACCUCAGGAGCCCGGGAGCUGGCCUCCCAGCUGGAAGAGGCGACUCAAUCCUUUAACAGCCAGUGUGGAGGGAGAGGCCACGGUGGUCCCUGCUGGGGGCUGUGCUUGCGUAGAUAUUGAUAUUGCACACACUGAGCUGGGGGAUUCCCUGGGGGGGACUGGUCCCAUCCCCACAAAAGACCCCAAAGGCCCUCUUGAGCAUCUACCCAGGGAACCCACUGUUUUGCUUGAAGAGACCAGAGAGGAUGCUUUCCAUGUCACUGCCUCCCGGGGAUGCAAACUGUGGGGAUGGAAAUUCUGCUGUUGAUUAAACAUACUUUUAUGUGUAUCCAGCAAUGAAGUGUGAACUUGGCCUUUUGCUUUCACCCAUAAAUGCAGCUUCGUUAGUGGAAAAGACCAUUUUGAUAUUAAAAACUAAUUCAUACGCAGAGGAUCACUGUGGCUUAAAAGGAGUGUGUAAUUUGUGGGGAGGGGGAACCAGUGGCAUUUUCCAGGAACCAGAGUGGACUCUGCUAAUCUUUUCUCAAGACUGUGCCCUUAAAAGCCAAUACAAUAUAGAUUUCAUUUGUAAUUGUGGGAAAAUACACAUUAACCAAGUUUUCAACCCUAACCAUUUUUAGGUCUACGGCAGUGGCAGCAGG
ensembl:lncRNA